AUAUUGGACAAUGGGGGCAACCCUGAUCCAGCCAUGCCGCGUGUGUGAAGAAGGUCUUCGGAUUGUAAAGCACUUUAAGUGGGGAGGAAGGGCUUUAGGUUAAUACCCUGAAGUUUUGACGUUACCAACAGUAUAAUCACCGGCUAACUUUGUGCCAGCAGCCGUGGUAAUACAGAGGUUGCAAUAGUUAAUCGGAAUUACUGGGCGUGAAUCACACGUAGGUGAUUCAGUACGAUAGGUGUGAAAGCCCCGGGCUUAACCUAGGAACUGCUUUCAUAACUGCUGAGCUAGAGUACGGUAGAGGGUAGUGGAAUUUCCUGUGUAGCGGUGAAAUGCGUAGAUAUAGAAAGGAACACCAGUGGCGAAGGCGACUACCUGGACUGAUACUGACACUGAGGUGCGAAAGCGUGGGGAGCAAAC
rnacentral:rRNA from 1 species